rnacentral:rRNA from 1 species
UACAGAGGGUGCAAGCGUUGUUCGGAAUUACUGGGCGUAAAGCGCGCGUAGGCGGCUAUUCAAGUCAGAGGUGAAAUCCUUGGGCUCAACCCAAGAAUUGCCUUUGAAACUGUGUAGCUAGAGUGUCGGAGGGGAUAGCGGAAUUCCUAAUGUAGAGGUGAAAUUCGUAGAUAUUAGGAGGAACACCGGUGGCGAAGGCGGCUAUCUGGACGACAACUGACGCUGAGGCGCGAAAGCACGGGGAUCAAACAGG